AAUGCGAGCAUUCUAAUAAAGGUGUCUCAGUGGCUUUCCAGAAAGGCAAGCUCCACCAAAACAUGGCUGCCUUCACACCCCUCUUCGUCUGUGGGGUGUGUGCAUUGCUUUUAUCAGCUGCGCUCUAUGUUUUAAAAGUUUUGAAGCAAUCAGCUUUAAAUUUGCCUCCCGGUCCGUUUCCUCUUCCGAUCAUUGGCAACCUGCAUUUGCUGGACAUCAGAAGACAGGACAAGUCGCUCAUGAAGGUUUCAGAGAAAUAUGGCCCCGUGUUCACCGUCCAUUUGGGGUUUCAGAGGGUGGUGGUGCUGACUGGCUACGAGGCAGUGAAGGACGCCCUUCUGCACAUGGCGGACGUGUUUCUGGACAGACCGGCGAUACCCAUAUUCUAUCACAUCCAACAUGGAAAUGGUGUGUUCUUUUCUUCUCAUGAGCUCUGGAGGAUGACACGGCGGUUCACCAUAGCCACCAUGCGGGAUCUUGGCAUGGGGAAGCAUCUUGGAGAACAAAGGAUGCUUGAGGAGCUUCGCUUUCUCAUCGAGUUGAUCAAAUCCUUCAAAGGUGGACCUUUCCGAUUACGAUUUUUGAAUAUGGCUCCCUCCAAUAUCACCUUUGCUAUUCUCUUUGGGAGAAGGUUUGAUUAUGAAGACCCAACGUUUCUUACUCUGUUAAGACUCAUAGAUGAAGUUAUGCACCUUCUUGGCUCUCCGUUCUUGCAUUUAUUUAAUUUCUACCCAUUCCUUGGAUUUCUCCUCAAACCUCACAAGAUGAUACUGAAAAAAGUAGAAGAGGUGCGUGAGAUCUUAAGGAAACGCAUCAAGGAAAACAAAGAAAGUUUUAAGGAAAACAACCUGAUGAGCUACAUUGAUGCACUGAUAUUCAAACAAGAGGAGCAAAAUAAAAGCAAUACUUUUUUUCAUGAUGCAAACGUAUUGGCCUCUGCGCUCGACCUGCUCAUGGCUGGCACCGAGACCACAUCCACGACACUGCAAUGGGCCAUCCUGCUACUGAUGAGGUACCCCGAGAUUCAAAAAAAGGUGCACGCAGAGAUUCAGCAAGUUCUUGGCCCUGACUCCUUGCCUACCUUUGAGAACCGGAAAAACAUGCCGUUUACCAACGCGGUGAUCCAUGAGGUGCAGAGAUUUGUCAGUCUCCUGCCACAUAUUCCACGGUGCACAUCUGUUGACACCCACUUUAAAGGCUACUUCAUCCCCAAGGGAACAACAGUGAUUCCUCUGCUCACCUCCGUGCUGCUGGAUAAAACGCAAUGGGAGACACCAGAUGAGUUCAACCCCAGCCAUUUCCUUGAUGCGGAUGGGAACUUCGUAAUGAAGAAAGCGUUCCUGCCCUUCUCCAUAGGGCGGAGAAAGUGCAUUGGAGAAGGUCUUGCCACGAUGGAGCUCUUCAUCUUCUUCACAGGCUUGAUCCAGAAAUUUACUUUUAAGCCUCCACCUGGGGUCAAAGAAUCUGAGCUGGACAUGACUGCAGAGGCUGGAUUCACCAUAAGACCCCGUCCACAGUGUGCCUGUGCUGUGCUAGGGCAAUAAACCCAAGGCUCUGAACUGAGAAAAAUCCACAUAAUUACUUUGUACAGAGCCUAGCAGAUGCACAAAGGAGAAACCAGAGCCCUUUGCAGUAGAUACAAGUAGUGUCUUCUUACUCAAAGCCUUCCAAGUACUGGCUAUAUGCUUAAAAUAUCUGUUGAACAAAUAUUUUUCUAAGAAGCAGAGGAGGGCUGGUGGGUAAGGUUACCUGGAAAAUCCCAGCCAGAUACAUGACUGGAAAUGACAGGACAGCCACUGCUUUACACAUUAAAUACACAACAUAAGAAACUUAUUCUAGUCCUGAGCUUCUGGGAGAGGAUACUUCUCGAGAGUGGAUCAUUUCUUCACUUGGAGAGCAAUAUUAGGUUUCUGUGAGAUUUGUCAGGACCCUAUCUUUUCCUGACAUUCCCAUCACUUCUCCUCCUCUGACUAGAGAUGGAGCCUCGUCACAUUCCCUCACCAGUGAAGGCAACAGGACUCUUUUACAGCAGCUGGCUUCUUCCUUGGUCUGAAAUGCUGACUGAAGGAGGUGAUGGGACGGCAAUGGGAGGUGGGUUAAGCUGUUGUCCCACAAAGCGUUUGAGCUGGUUAACCCCCAGGAGGGAUCCUCGUCUGCUGUAGGAUGGGGAGAAGAUUCCUCCCGUUCCCUACAUACCACCAGGUACCAUUCUUCCAGGUUCAUGGUAAAUAAACAGAGCGUGAUGCCUUUGCUCCCAGGUGAGUGCAGGUGGGCCGGGGGUGCAGAAAGCCUCAAGGCUCAGCUCUGCGCUCCCUGAUGUGCGGCUGGCAGGGCGUUUCACCCCGGGAAGGACCGCAGGGCUGGGCUCUCUGGGACUCCCAGGGAUCGUGGUGCCACCUCGUGGCAAAAAGAAAAUAGAAAUGACAUUCUGCGCAACGGUUACUGCUCUAGCCAGCGCGCAGAGGGGCUGCAGAUACCAGGCAGCCCUCGUUUUACAAAUCUUUACAGUUGCUGCAAUCCUCGCACCUGAUCAUUGCCCCUCUGAGAGCAGGAGCCCCUGGUCCCAGCACCACGCAGCGCUGGGGAUGGCAGGCUGGGCUCUGGGACGUGCUGCCCAGCCAGCUGCGUGUGGAAGGACCCACAGACACCCCGUGAGCUGGGUCUGUUCAGAUCUCACUUUACAAAUCAAGCCACCUGUCCUGCCCCGAGAUGUUUGCCUUCAAUUCAGGUCAGUGUGUUGCAAGGCACAAACGUGUUUUGCAGCUACAGGGAAGACCCUCAGGGUCACUGAGGAGCGUGGAAAUGGUAUUUCCACCCCUGAGAGCCAAUGUUUUCUGUAGCUGAGUCAUAAUCAAUGUUCUGCCAUCGUUUGGCUGAACAAAUAAAUGGGAGGCAGGCAUUCUCUUUUGUGGAGAUAUAUUCAGCUGUGUAAUUCAGUGUGCCGGGGAGUGAUCCCUUCCAUCCAUCUGCUAGCACAGGCACAAGUCGGAUGCACUUUCCAAAGGAAUCAAAGAAACCUGUUCCCUGUGGAUGUUUGCACCUGGUAGCUCAUGGCUCUUGUUGAGGCGCCGGUAUUGCACAGUCUGCUGGAUUGCUGUACACAGCCAGCACUGCCGCAGGCUCUGCGCUGCCUGCCGGGGAGUGCCAGUGCAGGAGGUGAUGUCCAAAAAGAGCAGGCUCUGAGGACUGCGAUGCCAUGUAAGAAGGGAUCCAUCUCUCAGCUUCGAAGCCAAGACCCCAAGAGCCCAUGGCAAGGGGUCAGGUCUGAGGUUCCGCCAGUGAAUUCAUGCAGAUUUGAACCCAGCCCAGUUUUGUCCCCUGGAGCACUAGAUUGUUGCCGUAUCUGUCUUUUGAGUUCAUAUUACUUUUGGAGGGGGCCAGAGCAGGAACAGUCCUGGCCUCUCUGAAGCCAAAGGCAAAAGUCUUUGUUUUUUUAUUUUAGCAAGGCCAAGACUUCCUUCACUGAGUUGAUAUGUGGUUUGCUCUCAGUUCCUUUACCUGUCUCUCCAUGCCUUCCCUGAAGAAGACUCCAUCCUGCUGCCACCACUCUUCAAGAGUGACAUUGCCAGCAGGUGAUGCUUCAGGAGAACAAGACGUGAGAGGCUCAGGGUCCGCGGCACUAAGCAGAGGGACAGUAUCAGCACCAGUGAAGCUGUGGUGGGAACCUUUCAUUCAGCCUCUGCAAGCAAGAGCCAAAGACAAAAAAAAGUGAAAACCCAAGGCUAUGCCCAGGACUGAGCAGUAGCCCAUAGCUGAGCACAAAGGGAAAGCUCUUUGCCCUGGAGACACCACGCUGCAGAUAUGGAGGAUCUCCUGUUGAGCUGUUUGUUAAGCAGGUUCAGGGUAUGCAGAACCUGUGAGAUACAAGUAAAACUUACAAUAUUUGUUGUCACUCUGGGCUCAGGAUCAACCUUUCAUGGCAUUUGCAUUUCUGUGUAAUGCAGUUGGGUGGCAGGCAUAUGACAUAUAAUGAAGACAUGGGAUUAAAACUUUAUUGGGUUCCCAUGAAGGAGCAAACAAACAAUAUGAUAAAGCAUAUCAUAAGAUAAUGCAUAUGGAGAAGUGUCAAUUCACAGACAGAUAAGUGGAUAAAAAUAUUGCCUGAGCUAUACAUCAACUGGAAUAAGAUUGCAGAAUACGAUGGCAGAUAAGAGUGCUACAGACAGGGACAACAGCCAGACAAAGCUACAGAAAAUGGAAAACAACCGAACCCAGGUCUUGUCUAAUCCCUGAUCCCAAGUCUCCUUGUGUGUGUGCGUGCAAUACAAGCACUGUGAAAUUAGAUACCAUUUGCAAGGAAAUUGCAUGGCUGGUUCCAAUGGCCAGACCAUCCCAAAUACCAGAUUGACUGCUGAUGUUGGCUCCUAACAUUACCCAGGAGGUCUGAAGAGAGGAACAGCAUUUGCUCCUAUCUAACAAGGUCAGGAAAGACAGAGAUCCAUACCCCCAGAAAUGGGUCUAGUUUAUUUUCUGUGUCAUUAGCCUUUUAUGAUUGGUUGCUGGUACAAAUCCCACAUGGCCUUACGAUGUAGAGUGCAAACUUAGAAAUAUAGAUCUUGUUUCAU